UACGGGGGGAGCAAGCGUUGUUCGGAUUUACUGGGCGUAAAGGGCGCGUAGGCGGCCACUGCAAGUCAGUUGUGAAAUCUCCGGGCUUAACCCGGAAGGGUCAACUGAUACUGCAGGGCUAGAGUGCAGAAGGGGCAACUGGAAUUCUCGGUGUAGCGGUGAAAUGCGUAGAUAUCGAGAGGAACACCUGCGGCGAAGGCGGGUUGCUGGGCUGACACUGACGCUGAGGCGCGAAAGCCAGGGGAGCGAACGGG
rnacentral:rRNA from 1 species